GUGCACAAUAAAAAUUUGUUUUGAUAAUAGUUGUUGCUGCAAAAUCUGGGCUGCAGAUUUGGUAAAGCUUUGCAUCCUUUUUCACUUUUUCUUGAAAAAUAAU